AUGAGAACCAUCAUCUGGGUUUAUAAGGAAUGAAAUAUGUUUGCAGAGUCGCAGGCAUCAUUGCAUGCAGAAUUAAUACUUGAAAAGGGAGAAUUCCAGAGCUCCAGACGAACAAGCAGGACAACGUGAGGAGCUUAAGUGUGCAGCAGCCGCUCUGCUUCACUAGUGAGCAAGUGGCCGACAGAAGUGAGGAGUAAGCAGGCACUGGCAAGCGGCCCACAGACUUCUGGUCUGAUUCAUGUUCCUGUACCCUGACCUGGAAAUCUGAGCGUUCAUUCCCCUUCCACAGGAGAAGAGAAGCAAGAAGAUAGGGAAGAAAAUGUCAGAACUAAUUUUACCCAAAUUAAAUCUAAGGGAAGAUUUCCA